GACGAACGCUGGCGGCGUGCCUAAUACAUGCAAGUAGAACGCUGAAGGAGGAGCUUGCUUCUCUGGAUGAGUUGCGAACGGGUGAGUAACGCGUAGGUAACCUGCCUGGUAGCGGGGGAUAACUAUUGGAAACGAUAGCUAAUACCGCAUAAUAGUAGAUGUUGCAUGACAUUUGCUUAAAAGGUGCAAUUGCAUCACUACCAGAUGGACCUGCGUUGUAUUAGCUAGUUGGUGGGGUAACGGCUCACCAAGGCGACGAUACAUAGCCGACCUGAGAGGGUGAUCGGCCACACUGGGACUGAGACACGGCCCAGACUCCUACGGGAGGCAGCAGUAGGGAAUCUUCGGCAAUGGACGGAAGUCUGACCGAGCAACGCCGCGUGAGUGAAGAAGGUUUUCGGAUCGUAAAGCUCUGCUGUAAGAGAAGAACGAGUGUGAGAGUGGAAAGUUCACACUGUGACGGUAUCUUACCAGAAAGGGACGGCUAACUACGUG
rnacentral:rRNA from 1 species